CUUUUUAUUGGCCUAUUAACUAAUUGAUGUCACCAGGCAGGCCAAAACUCCAUCCCACAAAAACAGGCUGAAAUAUCAAGCGUUCUUUUCAAACAGCUCUUGAACUUAAAGGGCAUUAUUAUAAUUGUCAGAAUUUCAAAGUAUUAUUCCAACCUCAUACUGUGGAAAUAUAUAUAUAAAACUUAGGACAAUCACGUUUUUGACUGCACUGUAAAUUUCAGUAUGGCCCCGCGAUGUCUGCAUACAGACAUUCUUUCAUAAGAUGAUUUUAUUCUUAGCUCUUCAUAAAACAUGUUGUGUAAUCACAUAACUUUCUACUAAAGUUCGAGAGUUGUUUUGUAGGCCUGUCACUUCCAAAACAAGGAUUAGUGGCAACCUCAAGUGGCAAGACAAAGAACAUCCAGAGAUGAUGUCCCAUCAGCCUGUCUGUCUAUGGUGAGAGAAUUAGGAAUCCUAACCCUCCUUUACAGUGGGAUGGGUUUGUCCAACAGCGAACCCAAGCAACAGUCUGCCAAUGACCUUCCACUUCCCCACCACCACCAACAAACUAAAGGCCUGUCAUCGGAUCCCCGUUCUCCUAGUGGCGGGGGGUUUCGAUGCAAGGUGCCCAGCAUAGGGCGACCUGUCAUCAGCAUCUGGCUUCCUCGGAGACGAGGCUUACCCAAAACUAUUCAAUACAAUUCCAUAUUGUGUCCUGUCUCUGUUGUCAUUCAGCUAAGCCUGCACUCAAUUGAAUGUAUGUUUUGAGAAGGCAACUACAUUUGAAAAAGCGUUUGCUGUUUUACAAAUGGCCACACACUUCUGUGUCUUGUGAACUGGGUUUUGAAUAUUGACAUUGUUGUUCCAUAAACAAAAAUGCUUGUAUGCGAUUGAUAAAAAGUGUAAUCAGAAUAAUCAGGAAACAUAGUGGGCACAUAUUGUAUUUUUUUAAAUGUUAUUACCCGAUUCUUAAGAUCUGAAGUAGAGCCAAACAGAAAAGGACCAGCAUAAUGUUGUACGUAGGUUGCAAUUAUAUACCUACCCAUGAAGCCAAGUCCGUACAGUCAAUGCCAAGUCCAUACAUACAGCCAAGAUUAUAUGUUGGUUAAUUGGGAUGAUAAUUCUGCAUGACAAGGAAGCUGAGACCAGAAUAGAGCUGAAGAAAAGGCUCAUUGUGCCAAAAGCAGCCCACACACAAGCACUGAUCCUCUCUCUUUCAGCACUUGUCUGUUCUGGGAAGAAAACAAACAUUUGGUUGAUUGGCUUCAGUUGACCAUGGUAACGGGGGCGAAGCAGCCAAAUACGGGGCGAGUCAAAAAAAAAUCUGCUCUUACAUACAAGAUGGCUCUCUGAUGUUGUGGGUGGUGGUGUUGUGUGUGUGCUUCUCCCCAGGCUGGUUUCAGAUGGCACCUCCACCCUGGGUGCAACUGUCUGAAUCUAUGUGAUUACAGUAUUGCUCAAUAUCCUUGAAAUAGCUACAAUAUUGUUACAAUAUUGCCAUGUUUGAAUGAAAUGAUAUUACACAUAAUUCUUUGACUUUCCUCUGUUGCUGCGGUUACGACAAGGGGUGGCGUUUUCUUUGGAGCUUGGGUUGUGAUUCAAUAUCUACGGUAUACCAUAUGUAUAGCUCAGACCAAACUAACUAUAGUUAAGUAAGAGACUAGCACUAAACUGAGGGAUAAAUCCAAACAAAGAAUAAACCCCCAUUCACUGGAACAACAUCAAUAAUGGCCCUGCAAUGAAUAAAAACCUCAUUUCAAUUGACGCACACAUUUCCAUUUAGGUCUUAUAUACAGUAGCUUUAGAUGUAUGGCACACCCUUUCAUUCAUUUCAUGUGGAUCAAAUUCAGGCUCUUUGCUCUAAUACUGUCUGAGGAUUAUCACCUUCAGACUCAUGUUUCCAAUGUCAAUUCAAUCCAUUAUUUUUCCAUUCCUGGGUUUUCUUUGAAAUUUAAGUGCUGAUUUGAGUGCUGAGACUGUCUUUGCCCCCUGACAGUGGGCAAGAGUCCUCCUCCUGUCAUUUCUUCACUCAAUAUUCAUGGAUUCAUUCAGAUCUGAAACACAUAACCAUCCCGAGGCUAGCUGAAGUUCCGCUGCCUCCUGGUGUCAAGUUGUCAAU
rnacentral:lncRNA from 1 species